CAACCAUGUAUGUGGUUAGUUUUGAAUUAACUAAAUUAUUUUUAUUAAUUGCUGGAUAAUUUGAUGAACUGUCUAGUAGGUCAUAGCUGGUGGUUCUGCUGAGUUUGCUGGGCUAAAACACAACGAUGUCAUAAUUCAAUUCGGUGGCAGAAAAGUUCCAAGUUUCUUGGAGCUAUUUCAUGACAUGUGGAAGCAUGUGGGAGAAUCAGUGGAGUUAGUUGUGAUAAGAGCGAGUGCUGAUGUUCCUUUGCAUCUUACCAUGGUGGUGGAGGAGGCCACAUCAGAUAAAUUAUACAGCUGGCCAUUUUGGGAGGUAUGAUGACAUUCGAGAAGAGUAACAUCUAAGGGUUGCAGGUAAUGGGAAUAUAAUAUAAUGGUGCUUGGACUUCAUAACAUGCACUGACUUUUAUGUUUCUAUUCUGCUAUCAUUAUCACAAUUUGUUUGUUGUUAAACCUGAUUCUCAAUACUCAUACUAGACAAAGAAGGGUGAUUUAUUUUAUAUAAAUUUCAAAGGCGUUAGAUGUCCAUGGGAUUGGCUUUUUCCAUUUUCCUAUCCCAUUAAGUACCUUGUUACAUCUAGU